rnacentral:tRNA from 1 species
GAGGUUAUAGUUCAGUGAUAGAGUCUGUGCUUAUUAUGUAACAGGUCCUGGGUUCAAUACCCAGUACCCUCA